AAAUUGAAGAGUUUGAUCAUGGCUCAGAUUGAACGCUGGCGGCAGGCCUAACACAUGCAAGUCGAACGGUAACAGAAAGCAGCUUGCUGCUUUGCUGACGAGUGGCGGACGGGUGAGUAAUGUCUGGGAAACUGCCUGAUGGAGGGGGAUAACUACUGGAAACGGUAGCUAAUACCGCAUAAUGUCGCAAGACCAAAGAGGGGGACCUUCGGGCCUCUUGCCAUCGGAUGUGCCCAGAUGGGAUUAGCUAGUAGGUGGGGUAACGGCUCACCUAGGCGACGAUCCCUAGCUGGUCUGAGAGGAUGACCAGCCACACUGGAACUGAGACACGGUCCAGACUCCUACGGGAGGCAGCAGUGGGGAAUAUUGCACAAUGGGCGCAAGCCUGAUGCAGCCAUGCCGCGUGUAUGAAGAAGGCCUU
rnacentral:rRNA from 1 species